rnacentral:rRNA from 1 species
AGUGAACGCUGGCGGUAGGCCUAACACAUGCAAGUCGAACGGCAGCACAGUAAGAGCUUGCUCUUACGGGUGGCGAGUGGCGGUCGGGUGAGGAAUACAUCGGAAUCUACUUUUUCGUGGGGGAUAACGUAGGGAAACUUACGCUAAUACCGCAUACGACCUACGGGUGAAAGCAGGGGAUCUUCGGACCUUGCGCGAUUGAAUGAGCCGAUGUCGGAUUAGCUAGUUGGCGGGGUAAAGGCCCACCAAGGCGACGAUCCGUAGCUGGUCUGAGAGGAUGAUCGGCCACACUGGAACUGAGACACGGUCCAGACUCCUACGGGAGGCAGCAGUGGGGAAUAUUGGGCAAUGGGCGCAAGCCUGAUCCAGCCAUACCGCGUGGGUGACGAAGGCCUUCGGGUUGUAAAGCCCUUUUGUUGGGAAAGAAAAGCAGCAGGUUAAUACCCCGCUGUUCUGACGGUACCCAAUGAAUAAGCACCGGCUAACUUCGUG